GGAGUUAUUUUUUUAAUAUUUUGGGGGGGUUGUAGAUUGAUACAAUACCUUCCUUUUAUUUAUUUAUUUUUAUAUUGUGCCAAGGAUCAAACCCAGUGCCUCACAUGUGCCAGGCAAGUGCUCUACCACUGAGCCACAACCCCAGCUUUUAUGGUAUUGUUGUUUAUGGUUUUUAAUAACAGACUUGGGUGUAGCCUGGUCACUUUAAAUUUUUGAUAAUGAGCAGAGGAGUUGGAGGGAAGAUAAGGUAGUAGUUAGCUGCCCUUGCCCUUUUUUCCUCGGGCCAUUAUGGCAAGAUAGGUGCUUUGGAGCAAGAGAGUACCAUUAUCUCUCUGUCUGGACAGGGACUGAAAAUUCUCACCCGUAGGGAGGUAAGUUAGGUACCAUCAUUCACAGCAGAAAAUAAGCAGCUGGGGGCAUAAAAGAUAGCCUAGCCCUGGAGGAUCAGCACUAUAAUGUCAUAUGCUGGAACUGACCCAUAGACUUAGCCCCACAUAUUCUUGGGUGACUUGCUUUUGGGAGAAUAUAAAAGAUGUGUUUCAUCCAUUAGAAAGUUUCUUGACCAUCAGGGUGACUUACUGACCCUUUUUCACAGAGCGUCAAAUUUGCAGAGCUGAACUAGACCUUAAUGGCUACCCAGCUCUGGGCCAGGAGUGGCAGGUGGAAGUAGGCACUGUAGCAUGGUAACAUCUACUCAUCUGACUACUGGCAGUGGGUGUAACUAGGAUCUGCUUCUGUGCAGAAGGCAUUAGGGACAUGCUCUUGAGCAUCCUUUAUCAUGUCUUAAGUCUAGGUAAACCUGUUUUUCUUUCAUGAUAAUAGAGAAAACUCAACAGUUUCUUUCAAGGUAUUGCAGACCUACAAGGUAGUCCAGUCCCCUAAUGAGAAGUCAGAUGUGGACUGGCUAACUUCCAAGUUCUCUCCCCCUAGACCUGACUGCCUCAUUACCAUUCCCGGGUUUCCUUUGGCUCCCACACUUCUAUUGCUUCCACUUACCAGGUCAUUCAGGACGAAUACCUUUCCCUCAUGGCCAGGCUCAUUAUCCAUUUUCGAGAUAUUUGGUUAUCACGUGGUGCACCUGCUUCGUAGAGUCCACGGAGGCCCUCCAACAGGACAUCUGGCUGAGUCCCCCCAUUUGCAGGGACAAAGAUUGUAUCGAGACUACCCAUGACCUAUGGCUUUGAGGAACUUUCAUCGAUUUCGGCCCCAAGGAAAUUCACAUCUUCAGUGCCCUGGCCUUUACAGCUAUGCUUCUCUUGUCCCCACACCCUGACCACCACUCCCUUCCUUCACACUUGUCGUCCCUCUCCAGCAGGAAGUAGCCAGAAAAUCUCAUAGCCCUGUUCCCAACACAAAAACAAACAGGGAGGAAUGUUGGGUAUUUGGAAGACUCCCCGCCAAAGUUAAGUUUCCUCUCAGGAGAACAUCACUUACCCCUACCCCUCCUCUCCAAAGGGCGCCAAGACAAAGAGCACCAAAUUCAAAGGUUUUCUUGACCAAUCCCCACAGGACACAGUGUCUGCUUGCUGUUCCUGAGUCACCCUGCCAAUCAACACCUGCCAAGUCACCUAUACAAUCCUUCUUAAGCCAAAGCUUGCAAGCUCUCUGCCUUCUUCCACUCUUACCUCUUCCUCUUCUUUCUCUAUCUCUCUGCUCUGGUCUCUUUCGCUCUGCUCUCCUCUUCUCUCUCUGGUCUCUGCCUCUCCUUUUCUUCCCCUUCGGACAGCCCCCCAAUAAAAUCUCUUGGUUGAA